rnacentral:tRNA from 1 species
ACGGGUGCGAUAUCAGCCUUCCAAGCUGGUAGCGUGGGUUCGAUUCCCAUCACCCGCU